GUGUGAUCGGUCCCGUGGAUUUUUCACUCCGAUUUGGAGUUUUCCCACGUUAAAUUCUCGGUGUGCUGUUUUCUUUUCUGCUAUUUUAUUUUAUUUGCAUCGAGAUUUUUGAGUUUGCCGUUUUUACACCUAUUCACCCCUCUCUAGGUGUUACUUACCUUUUAGAUCCUCGGGAUCCAUAUCUUACAACAGAUAGCAUAAAUACAUUUAUAUUACAAAAAUCAAUAUAUACAUCAAAAAAACUGCAAAGCUAAGUAGUAAAUAACAUG
rnacentral:lncRNA from 1 species